rnacentral:sRNA from 1 species
UUAUAGAAGUCCCGGAAAGCGGAUGUGCAGAUUGCAGAUUUAUCUGCAUAGAUGCACAUACAUUUGACGGGCUGACACAUAUGAGCAAGAAGGACGACAGGACGCAUUGCGAAUGUGUGUGCGAUUGCGGGAGUACUCAGUACGGAGCAAUCGACUUCUAUAA